CCAUUUUUGUCUACUUUGUCAGCCUUUGAAAAUCAAAAUUGUGCUCUCCGUCCGUCCGUCUUCGUCUAAUCUGUCCGCCAUUUUUGUCUACUCUGUCCGCCUUAAAAAAUCAAAUCGCCAAUUUCGUCUACUCUGUCCGCCAUUUUCGUCCAAUAUUCUUGAAAGAUUGGGCAGCAUUGGAUGCAUAUAAAGACAAGAAAACUGGAGAACUUUUGGGUCCACAACAUUCGUUUAAUGUGGAGUUUGCUCAAGACAACAUGCAACAAAUAAGUGAUAGCCUUGAUUGCGGACUAUUCGUAGUUGUAUAUGCAGAAUUCUGAGUGACAAAAUCAACAUGUCAUGUAAUAGUUUUAAGAGUAGCUAUCUUCGCAAAAGAUAUGCGAUUCUUUUAUUGAAGUAUGGUCUCGACAAGAUGAAUGCUGGAUAUGUUAGCAACAGUGAUGACCCUUCAAGAAUGAAGAAUGUAUUAAACCCAUCAUCUGAAGAUGAAAUUGUUAAUGUAGGCUAGUUAGUUUUCAAUGUUUGAUUUUUUUUUUAUUUUUUGGAUUUAAACAAGAUGUUUGAAGUAUUUAUUAACAUAACAACACAUAUUGUUAAAUUAUGAAAGUGUUUUGAUUUUUAAAAUUAUUUAUUCUAUUACUUUAAUUUUAUUUUUAUUACCGUUAUGAAUUCAGGAAUUAUGUAUACUGUUAUUGGGACAUGAAUGUCAUUAUUGUAUCAAAACUAUAAUAAUAAUUACAUUAAUGUAAUUAUUGUCAUAAAAAAACACUUAUUAUAUAUACGUAAAUAUAUUGCAUGAUACAAAAAAAGAAAAUUAUAUACGUAAUUAUAUUUUGUAUAUGAUACAUGAAAUAUCAAAAUAUAUAAUAUCACAAACAGUGAUACUAGUUAUUACACUAGAUACAUGCCAGUUUUUUUU